AUGAGUGGAAAAUGGUUAACAGAAAAUGAUUUGACGAAUCACAUAACUGAAUACUUCACAAACCUUUUCACAUCGGAAGUUCAGCAUCCGAAUCAAGAAGUUUUAUCACUUGUGCGUAAGAGAGUGUCAAACGAAAUGAACAAUGCUCUACUUGCUCCUUAUACCGCGGAAGAUGUUCGCAAGGCUUUAUUUGAUAUUGGGGACUUGAAAGCUCUAGGACCAAAUGGACUCCAUGCUAUCUUCUAUAAAAGGUUCUGGCCCAUGCUAGGGGAAGACCUAAUUGAGGAGGUUCUGAAAGCAAUCAAUACAUGUAUAACCCCGAAUGGUUGGAAUGAUACUGCAAUCGUGAUGAUUCCUAAGAUUAACACACCAGAAAAGGUAUCCCAAUUUAGGCCGAUCAGCUUAUGUAAUGUGGUAUACAAAAUAAUUGCAAAAAUGGUGGCCUCUCGAUUGAAGACCCUUCUACCAGAAAUUAUUAGUCCAACACAUAGUGCUUUUGUACCAGGUAGAUUGAUAACGGAUAAUAUUUUAGUGGCCUACGAAUGUUUUCACACAAUCAAGAAUAAAAGAGAGGGUAGAGAGGGCUUGUGUGCUAUCAAACUUGACAUGCACAAAGCUUACGAUAGAGUCGAGUGGGCUUUUCUGAAGGAAAUUAUGCUGAAAUUGGGUUUCCGCCGAGAGUGGGUUAACUUGAUCAUGCAAUGCGUCACAAUAGUAGAAUACAAAGUAAGGAUAAAUGCAGAGGAAAGUGAGAGUUUUAAGCCUACUAGAGGGUUGAGAUAG
rnacentral:rRNA from 1 species